AGGUGGACCUUGAGACAACAAGCCAGGGUUUGAUCGGAUAAUAUCUCCCGAUUCCAUCCGAAUUGCCAUUUUGUGAAAUCAAAAUAGAAGUUUCUGGAAAUACACGGAUGCACUAUUGAUGUACUUCGGCCAACACCCAUAAUUUGAUGGUCUGUUGAGUUUCUACAGGAAUACACUCUCAGUGAAUUCAUGUUCUGUCUGUAUUUCCUUUGGUGAACCCAUUCUUUGAUUUGCACCCCUGAUGAAGUCCUAAGGGACGAAACGCGUUGGGUUUCAACGAUUGUGCGUUUCCGUAAAAACAGUGAACAGAUCAUACAUACUUUCUCAUGCUGAGGAAUAAGUAUUCCAUCUAAUGAUUGAAAACAUCAUAUAUAACAGAUAAUCAGAAAUGAAUGUAUUGCUCAAGUGACAUGUGUGAUCUUGUGAUUCAUGUUAUAAAAGUAUGUAUGUAACAUGUUUUUUA